AGGAAUAUUGGUCAAUGGACGCAAGUCUGAACCAGCCAUGCCGCGUGCAGGAAGACGGCUCUAUGAGUUGUAAACUGCUUUUGUACGAGGGUAAACUCACCUACGUGUAGGUGACUGAAAGUAUCGUACGAAUAAGGAUCGGCUAACUCCGUGCCAGCAGCCGCGGUAAUACGGAGGAUUCAAGCGUUAUCCGGAUUUAUUGGGUUUAAAGGGCUCGUAGGCGGUUCGUCGCGUCCGGUGUGAAAGUCCAUCGCUUAACGGUGGAUCUGCGCCGGGUACGGGCGGGCUGGAGUGCGGUAGGGGAGACUGGAAUUCCCGGUGUAACGGUGGAAUGUGUAGAUAUCGGGAAGAACACCAAUGGCGAAGGCAGGUCUCUGGGCCGUUACUGACGCUGAGGAGCGAAAGCGUGGGGAGCGAACAGGAUUAGAUACCCUGGUAGUCCACGCCGUAAACGGUGGAUGCUGGAUGUGGGGCCCGUUCCACGGGUUCCGUGUCGGAGCUAACGCGUUAAGCAUCCCGCCUGGGGAGUACGGCCGCAAGGCUAAAACUCAAAGAAAUUGACGGGGGCCCGCACAAGCGGCGGAGCAUGCGGAUUAAUUCGAUGCAACGCGAAGAACCUUACCUGGGCUUGACAUGUUCCCGACCGCGGCAGAGAUGUCGUUUCCCUUCGGGGCGGGUUCACAGGUGGUGCAUGGUCGUCGUCAGCUCGUGUCGUGAGAUGUUGGGUUAAGUCCCGCAACGAGCGCAACCCUCGCCCUGUGUUGCCAGCACGUCAUGGUGGGAACUCACGGGGGACCGCCGGGGUCAACUCGGAGGAAGGUGGGGAUGACGUCAGAUCAUCAUGCCCCUUACGUCCAGGGCUUCACGCAUGCUACAAUGGCCGGUACAACGGGAUGCGACACGGCGACGUGGAGCGGAUCCCUGAAAACCGGUUUCAGUUCGGAUUGGAGUCUGCAACCCGACUCCAUGAAGGCGGAGUCGCUAGUAAUCGCGGAUCAGCAACGCCGCGGUGAAUGCGUUCCCG
rnacentral:rRNA from 1 species